GCUUUUACAUUUUUAACUGAAAUUUUAUUUGUUUAGGUGUUUGAUUCUUUUUAAAUUCUUAAACCAGGGGGGAUAGUUCCCAACACAUGAAUUGUGUGUCUGCUUUAUCUUCUUUGUGAGCGUUAUCGUCUCUUAAAGUUGUUUCCCUGCUACAGUUCAAGCUUCCCAAGUUUCAUUUGCUUCAUUUCCUGACAGCUAUGCCUGAG